GUUCAAAAUAAAGAAUUCAAUGUGUGUGAAUAGUAAAUUGAAAAAUAUAAACAUUUUACGGGGACCGUCAUAAAUAUGUAUGAAAGUGAAUGAGCGUAUGCCUGCCCUCCGUAUAUUUUAUUUGUGUUUUUUAAUUGAUUUUCGGUAAAUAAAAUCAUUGCUCCACACGCAAUCAUCAAUAACAUAACACACACAACCGUAACGACUAGAACAUAUAUAACGAACCAACAAAAGAAAAAAAAAAAAAACAUAUAAUAAAAAAAUAAAAAAAAUAAAAAUUAUUUAAUAUUUAAACAUAGUUACGUUUAACUUCGUAUUGUUUUAUGCAUUGUUUGCGGAGAUUGCCUGAAUUAAAGUUAAUUUCUUACACAAUAAAAACAAAACAGACAAAAAGUCCAGUUGCACGCAUACAUGAACAACAACAAAAAAAAAAAAAAAUGCAACAGCAAGCAUUGGUACUAAUAGUAACGACAACGAUAGCAGCGGGCAGCACGAGCAGCAAUAGCAACAAUUCUGCAAACUUAGGCGGCGAACAAGCAAGCUGGCAGUCGCAGACAGCAUCAAUUAUAAAUUCGAAAGCCUGCAGAGGCAAUGUUCCCAUGAAUUUCGCAUAAACGGAGCUAUAAUAACGAGAAAACUUCAAUAUAACAUUAAGAACAACAACAACAACAACGACCAAUUGCAACGACAACCACAACCAAUAUUUGUUAUAGAUGUCCACAGCAAUAAACACAGCAACACGAAAAACAAGAACAAGAAGCAGAGCAACAGCAACAGCAACAGCAACAACAACAACAACAAUAAUAAUAGCAAUAUUUCAACGCGUAUUGAAAAUAAGCCGACGACAACAAAUGAAAAGCCUUAACUCAAACAGUCAGGCAGUCAUCUUUUGACUUUAGAACGGAAAUGAGCUGGCAGCCUGUCUAGCUAACAAACAAGACACAACAAUAAGUAUCAGUAACAUCCACUUUGACACCGAGAUAUACAUAUACGAAGUAAGACAGUGAGAAGAUAUUCAAAUACUUAAACAUACGCAUGGAUAGAAGUCCAUACUCUGCGUAAAAGGAUCCUUGGAAAUGUUAUUAAGAAGAUUGAAAUAAGCAAAGAAAGCGAAAGAGUGAGAAAGAGAUAGAAAUAAGUAAACGGUUCAACUAAAUACGAAAUCCUGUUACAAUUGUGCAUGGCGAUGCUGUCGUCUCAUUGACAGAGUAACUAACGACGGCAUGUGCGAGCGCCCAAGUAUACGUAUAUUAAGGUGUUUAAGCAAAUGAGCGUUUUUGUGUUUGCAACGGAAAUUGCAUGUUUUCACAAAAUGUUCAUGAACUUCCCAUCUACCUGAACUCUAAAAAGCCAUUACAACAUACAAAUACCAACAAUACAAAAAAAAAAGCAACAACAAACGCAACUAUACCAAUCUUAAUAAUAUUAAAUA